rnacentral:rRNA from 1 species
AUUGAACGCUGGCGGCAUGCCUUACACAUGCAAGUCGAACGGUAACGCGGGGGGCAACCCUGGCGACGAGUGGCGAACGGGUGAGUAAUACAUCGGAACGUACCCAGUAGUGGGGGAUAGCUCGGCGAAAGCCGGAUUAAUACCGCAUACGACCUAUGGGUGAAAGCGGGGGAUCGCAAGACCUCGCGCUAUUGGAGCGGCCGAUGUCGGAUUAGCUAGUUGGUGAGGUAAAGGCNCACCAAGGCUACGAUCCGUAGCUGGUCUGAGAGGACGACCAGCCACACUGGGACUGAGACACGGCCCAGACUCCUACGGGAGGCAGCAGUGGGGAAUUUUGGACAAUGGGCGCAAGCCUGAUCCAGCCAUGCCGCGUGUGUGAAGAAGGCCCUCGGGGUUGUAAA